rnacentral:rRNA from 1 species
CCACUCCCGGAACGGGGAGGUAGUGACGAAAAAUAUGAAUACGGGACUCAUAUGAGGCUCCGUAAUUCGAAUGAGUACAAUUUAAAUCCUUUAACGAGGACCUACUGGAGGGCAAGUCUGGUGCCAGCAGCCGCGGUAACUCCAGCUUCAGAAGCGUAUAUUAAAGUUGUUGCAGUUAAAAAGCUCGUAGUUGGAUCUGGGUGGCAUGGCUACAUGCUGUUGCUUUGGCCUGUAUUUGGCACACGUCAAGUGCAGAUCAUGCGCGGUGUAGUGGUUGUGCAGCCUUUCUGUCGUGUCUGUGAUUGCGGGUGCAUUCGAGUGCAAAUGGGACUCGUUUGCAUGCUUCUGGAUGCCUUUAAUUGGGUGUCCGGAGCGGACGACACGUUUACUUUGAACAAAUUUGAGUGCUCAAAGCAGGCCAUAGUGCCUGAAAAUUCUUGCAUGGAAUAAUAAAAUAGGACUUCGGUUCUAUUUUGUUGGUUUUCGGAUCCGAAGUAAUGGUUAAGAGGGACAGACGGGGGCAUUUGUAUGGCGGUGUUAGAGGUGAAAUUCUUGGAUCGCCGCCAGACAAACUACAGCGAAAGCAUUUGCCAAGGAUGUUUUCAUUGAUCUGGAGCGAAAGUCAGAGGUUCGAAGACGAUCAGAUACCGUCCUAGUUCUGACCAUAAACGAUGCCAACUGACAAUCCGUGGAGGUUCUAUUGCUGACCCUGCGGGCAGUCCCCGGGAAACCCUUAAGUCUUUGGGCUCCGGGGGAAGUAUGGUUGCAAAGCUGAAACUUAAAGGAAUUGACGGAAGGGCACCACCAGGAGUGGAGCCUGCGGCUUAAUUCGACUCAACACGGGAAAACUUACCCGGCCCGGACACUGUGAGGAUUGACAGAUUGAUAGCUCUUUCUUGAUUCGGUGGUUGGUGGUGCAUGGCCGUUCUUAGUUGGUGGAGCGAUUUGUCUGGUUAAUUCCGAUAACGAACGAGACUUUGGCCUGCUAAUUAGUAUGCAUGUCCUCUGUGCUGAUGUAGAUGCCAGUGGUUGUUGCCUCUUCGGGGGUGACGUCGCUGUUCAUCGAUCAGUACGGUGCAUGUGUUUACUUCUUAGAGGGACAAGCGGCGCAAGUCGCACGAAAUUGAGCAAUAACAGGUCUGUGAUGCCCUUAGAUGUCCGGGGCCGCACGUGCGCUACAAUGACGGUCUCAGCGAGUUUGGAAUCCUGCCCUGAGAAGGUUGGGCAAACUGAAACAUGACCGUCGUGACUGGGAUCGGGGCUUGAAAUUAUUCCCCGUGAACGAGGAAUU